CCUACGGGUGGCAGCAGUGGGGAAUAUUGGGCAAUGGGCGCAAGCCUGACCCAGCAACGCCGCGUGAAGGAAGACGGCUUUCGGGUUGUAAACUUCUUUUUAGCGGGAAGAGCAGAAGACGGUACCUCUUGAAUAAGCCACGGCUAACUACGUGCCCGGAGCCGCGGUACAACGUAGGUGGCAAGCGUUGUCCGGAAUUACUGGGUGUAAAGGGCGUGCAGCCGGGAAGACAAGUCAGAUGUGAAAUCCCGCGGCUCAACCGCGGAACUGCAUUUGAAACUGUUUUUCUUGAGUACCGGAGAGGUCAUCGGAAUGCCUGGUGUAGCGGUGAAAUGCGUAGAUAUAAGGAAGAACACCAGUGGCGAAGGCGGAUGACUGGACGGCAACUGACGGUGAGGCGCGAAAGCGUGGGUAUCAAACAGGAUUAGAUACCCCGGUAGUC
rnacentral:rRNA from 1 species